CGGUCUCGAGGCAGAUCCGGCACUGGAACUGCUCGCCGGGGCCGGCCUCGAGGUCAAUCUCGCCGGGCUCCGGGACGAGGGUGGGGGGGAUCAGAGGGAAGGAACUUGCAGGGUCCGGCUUCGAGGCCAUUUUGGGAAUUGGAAGAGGGGAAGGGGCUCCAAAACCCUAACCCUAGAUCGGUCAAUUGGGGCCUCGGUCUCUUCCGCCUCCGCCCCGGUGGUGGAGGUGGAGGUGGGG
rnacentral:misc_RNA from 1 species